rnacentral:rRNA from 1 species
GCAGUAAGGAAUAUUGGUCAAUGGAGGCAACUCUGAACCAGCCAUGCCGCGUGCAGGAAGACUGCCCUAUGGGUUGUAAACUGCUUUUAUCCGGGAAUAAACCUCUGCUCGUGAGCAGAGCUGAAUGUACCGGAAGAAUAAGGAUCGGCUAACUCCGUGCCAGCAGCCGCGGUAAUACGGAGGAUCCAAGCGUUAUCCGGAUUUAUUGGGUUUAAAGGGUGCGUAGGCGGCCUGUUAAGUCAGGGGUGAAAGACGGUAGCUCAACUAUCGCAGUGCCCUUGAUACUGAUGGGCUUGAAUGGACUAGAGGUAGGCGGAAUGAGACAAGUAGCGGUGAAAUGCAUAGAUAUGUCUCAGAACACCGAUUGCGAAGGCAGCUUACUAUGGUCUUAUUGACGCUGAGGCACGAAAGCGUGGGGAUCAAACAGGAUUAGA